UAAAUGGGUUAUUGUUGCCCAGGGCUGUCCGUGGUACCGGAAAUAGGCAAUCCGAGUAGUUCCAAGACUGCACCAAUCGGCCGAAUUGCGUAAGACCGACGGCGGUGUACAUCUUUGAGAGUACUGUCGCAAGGGAACGCGCCAAUCCGGAGAAUGGGGUGAAACUCCUCUGAAAUCCGGUGUUGCUUUACACCACGGGAAGCCCAAACAGAAUGAAACACGCAGAUAGUUGUCGCAGUUGCGGAACAUUAAUUCUGA
rnacentral:ribozyme from 1 species